GCCCCCAUAGCCCAACUGGUAGAGGCAAUCGGCUUAAACCCGAUCCAGUGCCGGUUCGAACCCGGCUGGGGGUA
rnacentral:tRNA from 1 species